GCAAUGAGAGUUGUACUAAGGUAGCGCGAUAAUUUGUCUCUUAAUUGGAGAAUGGUAUGAACGGUUUGUCGCGGAUUAAUUGUCUCUGGGAAAUAAUGUGAAGUUUCCUUUUAAAUGAGAAGGUUUAAAUUAAACUAAAAGACGAGAAGACCCUGUCGAGCUUAAUAAGUUUUGUGGAUUUAUUUUGGUAGGUUUAUAAAAUAAACUGUAGUUGGGGAAAACUUGGCUUAAAAUAAUAGGCUUGGGAUUGGCGGUGAUCCUUUUUGAAAGAUAAUCGGCAAAAGCUACCGCAGGGAUAACAGCGUAAUCUCCCUUGAGAGGUCCUAUUGAGGGGGAGGUUUGCGACCUCGAUGUUGGAUUAUA
rnacentral:rRNA from 1 species